AGAGUUUGAUCCUGGCUCAGGACGAACGCUGGCGGCGUGCCUAAUACAUGCAAGUAGAACGCUGAAGACUUUAGCUUGCUAAAGUUGGAAGAGUUGCGAACGGGUGAGUAACGCGUAGGUAACCUGCCUACUAGCGGGGGAUAACUAUUGGAAACGAUAGCUAAUACCGCAUAACAGCAUUUAACCCAUGUUAGAUGCUUGAAAGGAGCAAUUGCUUCACUAGUAGAUGGACCUGCGUUGUAUUAGCUAGUUGGUGAGGUAACGGCUCACCAAGGCGACGAUACAUAGCCGACCUGAGAGGGUGAUCGGCCACACUGGGACUGAGACACGGCCCAGACUCCUACGGGAGGCAGCAGUAGGGAAUCUUCGGCAAUGGGGGCAACCCUGACCGAGCAACGCCGCGUGAGUGAAGAAGGUUUUCGGAUCGUAAAGCUCUGUUGUAAGAGAAGAACGUGUGUGAGAGUGGAAAGUUCACACAGUGACGGUAACUUACCAGAAAGGGACGGCUAACUACGUGCCAGCAGCCGCGGUAAUACGUAGGUCCCGAGCGUUGUCCGGAUUUAUUGGGCGUAAAGCGAGCGCAGGCGGUUUAAUAAGUCUGAAGUUAAAGGCAGUGGCUUAACCAUUGUUCGCUUUGGAAACUGUUAGACUUGAGUGCAGAAGGGGAGAGUGGAAUUCCAUGUGUAGCGGUGAAAUGCGUAGAUAUAUGGAGGAACACCGGUGGCGAAAGCGGCUCUCUGGUCUGUAACUGACGCUGAGGCUCGAAAGCGUGGGGAGCAAACAGGAUUAGAUACCCUGGUAGUCCACGCCGUAAACGAUGAGUGCUAGGUGUUAGGCCCUUUCCGGGGCUUAGUGCCGCAGCUAACGCAUUAAGCACUCCGCCUGGGGAGUACGACCGCAAGGUUGAAACUCAAAGGAAUUGACGGGGGCCCGCACAAGCGGUGGAGUAUGUGGUUUAA
rnacentral:rRNA from 1 species